rnacentral:rRNA from 1 species
UGGCGGACGGGUGAGUAACGCGUAGGCAAUCUGCCUUCUAGAUGGGGACAACAUCCCGAAAGGGGUGCUAAUACCGAAUGUUGUAUGAUCUUCGCAUGGAGAUGGUACUAAAGGUGGCCUCUGAAUAUGCUACCGCUAGAAGAUGAGCCUGCGUCUGAUUAGCUAGUUGGAGGGGUAACGGCCCACCAAGGCAACGAUCAGUAGCCGGUCUGAGAGGAUGAACGGCCACACUGGGACUGAGACACGGCCCAGACUCCUACGGGAGGCAGCAGUGGGGAAUCUUCCGCAAUGGACGAAAGUCUGACGGAGCAACGCCGCGUGAGUGAAGAAGGUUUUCGGAUCGUAAAGCUCUUUCGUUAGGGACGAACGUGCUCUUUGUGAAUAAUGAGGAGUAAUGACGGUACCUAAAUAAGAAGCCACGGCUAACUACAUGCCAGCAGCCGCGGUAAU